CAGCAGGCCUUAAAUAUAUUGCAUGUACAUUUAUUUUUUCCUCUGUUUAACUACUGAAUUUUUUAAUAAAAUAGAAAUGAAACAGUAUGUGUUAACGAAAGAAAAUCCUUCUUGCCUCAGAUUUUCCAACUUUAUUUUGAGGGGAAAAAGUUGGUAUUUCUCUUUAACCAAAAAUAGAAAAAGGCUAUGUACUUAAGAUAUUUACAUUCAUAGUGGACAUCAAUCCAAUUUAAAUCCGAAGUAUAACAGCAGUCAAUUACUUAAGCAUAAACAUGUUUUUAAAUGUUUGGCCUUUUUUCUGUUUCUCAUUCAAAUUUGUUGGUAAUUCUCACAUUUUACAAACUGAUAUUGUUGUUUAUAAAGAUAUAAAGUAGAAUAUACACCAUUUUCUUUCCUUUUGCCAUAAAAGUCGUCUUUGUAUUGUAUUGUGAUUUUCCUCCAGAUGAGAGAGGAAACUGACCAGGUGUGGUGUGCAGGCCUAGCCUCACAUAUUAGGAACUCAAGAACUCAGGAAUCUAAGGAAUAAAUACCCAGUCUCCCUCACAUAAGCAGGUCAACUUUCCAUUCUAAAUUUAGGUAAAACUGCAAGCAUGAAAAAAAUAGAAUUUUUCAUUGCAAUUUUUAUAGUCAGGUAGUGUUUUAGCAACUUGAAGUCAGCACUUAAUUUGAUUGUAUUACCCAUCAAAGAGUCGCUAAUCUUUUCUGUUUUUAGCAGUAAAGGAAAUGAAUUAUUCUUUAUUUUCCAAAUGUAUUAAUAUAAAGCACAAAUGUGAUGUAGUUACUUAGAAUACAAAAUACUAUGAAAUGAAUGUAAAGAAUGGAAAACUGUAUUUUUGCAUGAAAACAGACCACUUACAAACUUAAUAUCUCAGGAAAAAUGAAAAAUUAUAUAUAAAAUUGAUAAACUAUAUGUUGAAUUAAGUUGGUAUAUUUUCUUGCCUGUUUCUAUUUUAAGAAAGCAUAUACGUGAAAAGAAAAACAUGAUCCCGGUAGUCAGAAUUUUCUAAGUAUGCUACAAGGUCCUUUCUGUGAAUCUACAGUUAACCACAGUAAGAAUGGAAUUAGCAUUCAAGUGAGGACAAAGCCCUAAUGAGAACACAUAAAUGGUUAUAACCCAGAGGCAAUAGAUACAUAUUACCUGGAGGCAAGCACUUCUAAACUUGGUCCAAACGAAAGGUUUUCAUGGGGUGACAGUGGCUUUUAAACAUUCGACAGAUUAUUUUUAUUUUUCUUGUUAAGUCACUGCAGCAGUUGCAUGAAGGGGAAAUGGAUAUUUUUUGAAGAAUUGCUUAUUCUACUUUCAAUUUUUAAAAAUUGAGGAAAUUUAAAAGUUACCUUUUAAAUAUGCAUAAAAGUAUAUUAACUGUAAUUAUAUUUUUAGUUGCUUUGUUAUAAUAGCAUGCAUAUCAAAUAUACAAUGCAUUUAUGAAAACUUUUGUAAAAAAAUAAAGAUUUUUUUUGUUUCUCA
rnacentral:lncRNA from 1 species